rnacentral:misc_RNA from 1 species
CAAAAUUGUGUUGCUUUAUUGAAGAAAUAAAUAAUAAAGAUAAUGCCACUAAAGGUGACGUUUUUCUCAAACCAAUUUAAGUGGAGCAAUUUUUUAGUAAAGAACCAAGAAAAUGCCAUUAAAGGUGACAUUUUCUUAAGCUAACUCAAGUGGAGCAGCUUCGCACUUCUAAGAGUGAAGUGAGACUAAUGCAAGGAGCAACUUUUUGGCAUCAGAGAAAACACCAACUCUAGCCAUUACUACCGCACGGUAAGAACAUAUUCACAUAAGAAAAAUGCUAAACCUUUAUCAUUCUCCCUAAACCCAGAGACAAGAUAUACUUUGAGGCUAUUGGAUUUUCAAUCUCAACCAUAGACUCGUAUUUGUAAGAAAAUCGGUGUAAUGUUUGAAGGGAGAGAGAACUCUAUUAAACAAUCAGGUUACCCUUUUUUCAACAAAUUUGCUUGUUCAUGCAGAAUUCUAAUCUCUCGUGCAAAUUAUUGACUAAGAAACAAAUAUUUACAAGUCCCAAGUAGCCAUCCUUUCAUCUUACAAGUCCCAAGUAGCCACAGCAUAACAGCGAGGCCCUGCUCUGAUGGUUAAGCAAUACGGAUAACUUUAGAAGCAGAUUGCAUAUACCACCUUUACUACAAUAGCCUUUCAAUCAGAACAAAUUUGGUUAAACUUAGAUAGCAGAGUUAAAUAUGAAAAGCUUAAAGCCUACAGACAGUCUCAGAGCCGCUUACGUUUUGUUGCAGUACCAUGCUGGUCAUGGCUUUGCACAGUUGAGCAACAUAUAUCAGGCACAAAAUCUCCACUAUCAGAUUGAUUCUGGACACGUUUUGGCCAAAAUAGCCCUGAGGCUGUAGGUGGAGAAGGCAUCUGCGGCACUGCCCAGGAGCUGUCUGGCACCUGACCUUGGCAUUCAUCAUCAUCUACUUCUUCCUCAGCUGAUCUUAAGAUUCCAGAGCUGUCAGAGUCACCACCCUUGCCACUAUCAACCAAAUCCUUUCUCAUACAUGCUCCGCUUUUGUGCGUUGAAUAGCAAGAUUCACAGCUACAAGACAACCCACAAUCAUUAAAUUAGACUAAUCACUUAACAAAAUAUUUAAUGAAGCAUCAAUUACAAAAGCAACUUGCUUAUCCAACAGCCUCACAAGGUCAAGUAGCUAGCCAAGUGGAAGGGGACAUCCAUGUAACUAUUACAGAUUUAAGUUCUGAGAAGGUCCUUCAACCUAUUAUUAUUAUUAUCUGUUAGUGCUAGCAUGGCACAUGAUUAUGAGAGAUAAAGAGGCACACUUGUUUGCUACAAUUCAUCAGAUAGAUGUGGAGAGGGCAAUUGAUUUGUAA